GAUUCUGUAACUUAGUUGGUUAAAGUGCCAAUCUAGCAAAUACGGAAUCGUGGGUUUGAAUCCCACCAGAACUC
rnacentral:tRNA from 1 species